AAAGGAAUAGACGGGGGCCCGCACAAGCGGCGGAGCAUGUGGCUUAAUUCGAGGCGACGCGAAGAACCUUACCUGGGUUUGACAUGCAGGGAAAAGCCGCAGAGAUGCGGUGUCCUUCGGGGCCCUGCACAGGUGGUGCAUGGCUGUCGUCAGCUCGUGUCGUGAGAUGUUGGGUUAAGUCCCGCAACGAGCGCAACCCCCGUCCCAUGUUGCCAUCGGGUAAUGCCGGGCACUCUUGGGAGACUGCCGGGGCCAACUCGGAGGAAGGUGGGGAUGAUGUCAAGUCAUCAUGCCCUUUAUGCCCAGGGCUGCACACAUGCUACAAUGGCCGGUACAAAGGGCUGCGAGUCCGCGAGGAGGAGCCAAUCCCAUAAAGCCGGUCUCAGUUCGGAUCGCAGUCUGCAACUCGACUGCGUGAAGUCGGAGUCGCUAGUAAUCCCGGAUCAGCAACGCCGGGGUGAAUACGUUCCCGGGCCUUGUACACACCGCCCGU
rnacentral:rRNA from 1 species